CCUACGGGAGGCAGCAGUGGGGAAUAUUGGACAAUGGGGGGAACCCUGAUCCAGCCAUGCCGCGUGUGUGAAGAAGGCCCUCGGGUUGUAAAGCACUUUCAGUGAGGAAGAACGCCUGGUGGUUAAUACCCAUCAGGAAAGACAUCACUCACAGAAGAAGCACCGGCUAACUCCGUGCCAGCAGCCGCGGUAAUACGGAGGGUGCGAGCGUUAAUCGGAAUUACUGGGCGUAAAGCGCGCGUAGGUGGCUUGAUAAGCCGGUUGUGAAAGCCCCGGGCUCAACCUGGGAACGGCAUCCGGAACUGUCAAGCUAGAGUGCAGGAGAGGAAGGUAGAAUUCCCGGUGUAGCGGUGAAAUGCGUAGAGAUCGGGAGGAAUACCAGUGGCGAAGGCGGCCUUCUGGACUGACACUGACACUGAGGUGCGAAAGCGUGGGUAGCAAACAGGAUUAGAUACCCUGAUAGUC
rnacentral:rRNA from 1 species